rnacentral:ncRNA from 1 species
NNNNNNNNNNNGCCAAGGGAGCAGGCUUGGCAGAAUCAGUGGGGAAAGAAGACCCUGUUCAGCUUGACUCUAGUCCGACUUUGUGAAGAGAUUUGGUGGGUGUAGCAAUAAGUGUAGGCUCAGUGUGUGCUGCUGCAUACAUUCUUGUGGCGGCGCGUGCGUGCGUGCGUGCUGGGGAUGGCAAUGAAAGACCUCUCCCAUCGAAUAAGCAAUGUGUAUAAAGCAGUUGGAUUGGCAUUGAAGCACAUGCUGACGUGUGGGAUCGAGCUCACUUGUCGACAUCCUCGGUCGCAGCUGGCUGGCCAUUGUCUGCUGCUGCUCCUGCCGCUGCUGUUGCGGUGGGCAUGUGGGUGGUGGGCAGUGGUGUUAUCAGUCGGAGUGUGUGUGCGACGUGCGACCCGAUCUAAAGACAUUAUCAGGCGGGGUGUUUGACUGGGGCGGUACAUCUGUCAAAUCGUAACGCAGGUGUCCCAAGAUGAGCUCAGCCAGGACAGAAACCUAGCAUGGAGUAGAAGUGCACGAGCUCACUUGAUUUUGGUUUUCAGUACGAAUACACACCGUGAAAGUGUGGCCUAUCGAUCCUUUUGAUAAUUCCACCACAUUCCAAGUUUGACGCAAGAGUUUUCAGAAAAGUUACCACAGGGAUAACUGGUUUGUGGCGGCCAAGUGUUCAUAGCUACGCCGACUUUUGAUCCUUUGAUGUAGGCUCUUCCUAUCAUUGUCUUGUUCACCCACUAAUAGGGAACGUGAGCUGGGUUUAGAUGGUCGUGAGAGAGGUUAGUUUUACCCUACUGAUGGGCACAGUGCGUGUGAUGAGUGAAGUGUAAGCAGGUCGCUGCUAUGGUAAUCUUGUUCAGCACGAGAGGAAUUGCAGGUUCAGAUAAUUGGUGCAUAUGCCUGGUCGAUCAGCCAAUGGUGCGAGGCUACCAUCUGAGGGAUUAAGACUGAACGCCUCCAUGUCUGAAUCCCAUCCAAAGAGAGAAAAGAUACACUACGGCCUCCACAUGGUGAGGCAGCUGUAGCACUUUCCAUUCGCCGCUUUCCUUCCCACGCAGCCAGCGUGCUGCAACGACCGCGAAUGGUCUGGCUGGUAGUGCGAGGCCAGAGCGUAGACCACAAGCACGUGCAUCAAAUGGUCAGGAUGCUGCGUGGAGGUCGAUACUAUAUCCAAUUGCAGAAUGAGUGUGGAGGCACAAAAUUGUGUGUACACAACUUAAUGCUUUGUGAAUGAGACUUAAUUACUCGAGCAGCUAUCACACUGCAAGGUAUUGAGUCCUAUCCCUACCUGACGUAAUGAUUU